GAUGAACGCUGGCGGCGUGCCUAAUACAUGCAAGUCGAGCGAAUGGAUUAAGAGCUUGCUCUUAUGAAGUUAGCGGCGGACGGGUGAGUAACACGUGGGUAACCUGCCCAUAAGACUGGGAUAACUCCGGGAAACCGGGGCUAAUACCGGAUAACAUUUUGAACCGCAUGGUUCGAAAUUGAAAGGCGGCUUCGGCUGUCACUUAUGGAUGGACCCGCGUCGCAUUAGCUAGUUGGUGAGGUAACGGCUCACCAAGGCCACGAUGCGUAGCCGACCUGAGAGGGUGAUCGGCCACACUGGGACUGAGACACGGCCCAGACUCCUAUGGGAGGCAGCAGUAGGGAAUCUUCCGCAAUGGACGAAAGUCUGACGGAGCAACGCCGCGUGAGUGAUGAAGGCUUUCGGGUCGUAAAACUCUGUUGUUAGGGAAGAACAAGUGCUAGUUGAAUAAGCUGGCACCUUGACGGUACCUAACCAGAAAGCCACGGCUAACUACGUGCCAGCCGCCGCGGUAA
rnacentral:rRNA from 1 species